UAAAUGCUAAAAUUAAUACCAUAAAAAUAUUAUAACUGUAUAGAAAGAGGAGGUACAGUAAAUGCUCCCCAUAUACACCUCAAACCAAGCCCUUUGCCUGAUCUGUAUUGUGAAUGGGGGACAAAA